rnacentral:sRNA from 1 species
GAUGCCAGGGUCAAAAGGUCAAAAAGCCGUUCAUGCUUGCAUGAUAAGGCUUUUGAACUUGGGACCCGCCAAACAUGAGAAAGUAGCGAUUUACGCAGUAAAUCAGCGGAUUUCGAAUGUUUAUAGAAUUGCGGGAGCUGCUUUGCAGCGGAGUAAUUCGUAGGCAUC